GGAUAUAGUUCAGUGGUAGAGUGUGUGCAUAGCAUGCACGAAGUCCUGGGUUCAAUCCACAGUACCUCCA
rnacentral:tRNA from 1 species